rnacentral:lncRNA from 1 species
UGAGGGCUUCCAGGCCAGGCUGGGAAAGGUCAGGGAAGGGAAGGAGUCAGGGUUCAGCCUUGUGCCCCGACCCUCUGGGGCCUUUGUCAGUGGCCACAGCAGCCCAACACUCUCACCCCUCACCUGGCCUGACUGGAGAAGGCCCUGGGCCUGCCGGUUACCAUCCCACAUUGCCCCCACAGGGCUCUCAGUGUAGCAAGGGCAGGGAGAAGGCCCAGGCUGGAAGGUCCACUCCUCAUUCUCCCUGCCCCACCCUGCCAUGCCCAUCCUGAUGGUCACCAUGGCCUGUACCAGGCCUCCGGCGGAGAAGCUGGGCACCACGUACUUCACGUCAAAGUCGCGAGAGGCCGCGU